GGAUUAGAUACCCUGGUAGUCCCAGCCGUAAACGAUGUUCACUAGAUGUGGGAGGUAUCGACCCCUUCCGCGUCGCCGCUAACGCAUUAAGUGAACCGCCUGGGGAGUACGGCCGCAAGGUUGAAACUCAAAGGAAUUGACGGGGGCCCGCACAAGCGGUGGAGCAUGUGGUUUAAUUCGACGCAACGCGAAGAACCUUACCUGGGCUUGAACUUGCAAUAGUAAGAUUCCUGAAAAGGAAGAUGACCCGUAAAGUCGGAUGUUGUGAGAGGUGCUGCAUGGCCGUCGUCAGCUCGUGUCG
rnacentral:rRNA from 1 species